rnacentral:rRNA from 1 species
AUAGAAGAAUCUGAGAGUUCACAUAUGCCCAGGAGAAGGAUUCGCAGCUUCAGGUUUGAAGCUAGAUGGUUACAAGAAGAGGAAUGUGAGUUUGUGGUUAAUAAUGCUUGGGCCAAAGCUAGCAUACAAGGGAAACAUAAUACCCAGGGGAUGUUACGCAUGGUAGCAAGAGAGUUAAAGGACUGGGAUGCUAAUGUUUUAGGCGAUCUCCAAAAGCGUAUUAAAACCCUUAAGAAAGAACUAGAGGAGGUACGCAGAGGGGACAUCAACCAAGAAGGGGUCAGCAGAGAGCACUUAUUAAUGGAGAAGCUAGACCGUUUGGAACAGCAGCAAGAUACGCAUUGGAAACAACGAGCCCAUAUUAAAUGGUUGCAAGAUGGUGACAAGAACACAUCCUUCUUUCAUGUUUUUGCCUCCGAAAGAAAGAAAAGGAAUACCAUUAAGAAA